GAACGCUGGCGGCGUGCUUAACACAUGCAAGUCGAACGAAGAUGCCGGAGUGCUUGCACUUUGGCAGACUGAGUGGCGGACGGGUGAGUAACGCGUGGGUAACCUGCCUUAUACAGGGGGGAUAACAGUUGGAAACGACUGCUAAUACCGCAUAAGCGCACGGUAUCGCAUGAUACAGUGUGAAAAACUCCGGUGGUAUAAGAUGGACCCGCGUCUGAUUAGCUUGUUGGUGAGGUAACGGCCCACCAAGGCGACGAUCAGUAGCCGGCCUGAGAGGGUGAACGGCCACAUUGGGACUGAGACACGGCCCAAACUCCUACGGGAGGCAGCAGUGGGGAAUAUUGCACAAUGGGGGAAACCCUGAUGCAGCGACGCCGCGUGAGUGAUGAAGUAUUUCGGUAUGUAAAACUCUAUCAGCAGGGAAGAUAAUGACGGUACCUGACUAAGAAGCACCGGCUAAAUACGUG
rnacentral:rRNA from 1 species